GGUGAACGCUGGCGGCGUGCCUAAUACAUGCAAGUCGAGCGAACAGACGAGGAGCUUGCUCCUUUGACGCUAGCGGCGGACGGGUGAGUAACACGUGGGUAACCUACCUAUAAGACUGGGAUAACUUCGGGAAACCGGAGCUAAUACCGGAUAAUAUUUCGAACCGCAUGGUUCGAUAGUGAAAGAUGGCUUUGCUAUCACUUAUAGAUGGACCUGCGCCGUAUUAGCUAGUUGGUAAGGUAACGGCUUACAAAGGCAACGAUACGUAGCCGACCUGAGAGGGUGAUCGGCCACACUGGAACUGAGACACGGUCCAGACUCCUACGGGAGGCAGCAGUAGGGAAUCUUCCGCAAUGGGCGAAAGCCUGACGGAGCAACGCCGCGUGAGUGAUGAAGGUCUUCGGAUCGUAAAACUCUGUUAUUAGGGAAGAACAAACGUGUAAGUAACUGUGCACGUCUUGACGGUACCUAAUAAGAAAGCCACGGCUAACUACGUG
rnacentral:rRNA from 1 species